GCAGUAGUGAUUCAGUGGUAGAAUUCUUGCCUCCCAUGAAGGAGAACCAGGGUGCCGGGUUCAAAUCCCAGCCAAUGCA
rnacentral:tRNA from 1 species